GAAAUUUGUGGGAUCCACAGACCUGCUCAUCAGCCUCGGAAGGAAGAAUAAGCUCUAAGUGGAGCUAAUUCUGAGCUGAGGCAGAGGUUAAUAGACAGAUCCCUGAAUGUAGGAGAAAACCACCUACGGACGCAGACAGCAUAUGGAACUUGUUGAGAGAGAGCUGCAUCUCCAUCCUCCACAACAACAGAGUCAAUAACAGCUAUAAAUACACUUCUGUCACGUA